AACGAACGCUGGCGGCAUGCCUAACACAUGCAAGUCGAACGAUGGCUUCGGCCAUAGUGGCGCACGGGUGAGUAACACGUGGGAACCUGCCUUUCGGUUCGGAAUAACGUUUGGAAACGAACGCUAACACCGGAUACGCCCUUUGGGGGAAAGUUUACGCCGAAAGAGGGGCCCGCGUCCGAUUAGGUAGUUGGUGGGGUAAUGGCCCACCAAGCCGACAAUCGGUAGCUGGUCUGAGAGGAUGAUCAGCCACACUGGGACUGAGACACGGCCCAGACUCCUCCGGGAGGCAGCAGUGGGGAAUAUUGGACAAUGGGCGCAAGCCUGAUCCAGCAAUGCCGCGUGAGUGAUGAAGGCCUUAGGGUUGUAAAGCUCUUUCGCACGUGACGAUGAUGACGGUAACGUGAGAAGAAGCCCCGGCUAACUUCGUGCCAGCAGCCGCCGUAAGAC
rnacentral:rRNA from 1 species